AGCGAACGCUGGCGGCAGGCUUAACACAUGCAAGUCGAGCGGGCAUAGCAAUAUGUCAGCGGCAGACGGGUGAGUAACGCGUGGGAACGUACCUUUUGGUUCGGAACAACUGAGGGAAACUUCAGCUAAUACCGGAUAAGCCCUUACGGGGAAAGAUUUAUCGCCGAAAGAUCGGCCCGCGUCUGAUUAGCUCGUUGGUGAGGUAAUGGCUCACCAGGGCGACGAUCAGUAGCUGGUCUGAGAGGAUGAUCAGCCACAUUGGGACUGAGACACGGCCCAAACUCCUACGGGAGGCAGCAGUGGGGAAUAUUGGACAAUGGGCGCAAGCCUGAUCCAGCCAUGCCGCGUGAGUGAUGAAGGCCCUAGGGUUGUAAAGCUCUUUUGUGCGGGAAGAUAAUGACGGUACCGCAAGAAUAAGCCCCGGCUAACUUCGUGCCAGCAGCCGCCGUAAAAC
rnacentral:rRNA from 1 species